AAAAAUAUGGCGACUAAGAAACACUUGAUGUCAACAAGAUUUUCUGAUUGACAAGAGAAAAGGUCAAACAGGAACUUCAGUUGUGAACAUUGCAGAGAACACACCCAUCAGAAGAUGACCCUCAGAAAUAGGACAAUUAAUGAAUAAAAUGGACAGAGGCAGAACUGAAGGAGAUGCAUGAAAUGAGGAAUAUUUCAAAGAUUGCCUGAGCAUAACCACUGCUACUGGAUAAACAUAUGGCAAUAUAAAAGAGCAGGG